rnacentral:rRNA from 1 species
UACGUAGGUGGCGAGCGUUGUCCGGAUUUACUGGGCGUAAAGAGCGCGCAGGCGGUCGUUCAAGUCGCGUGUGAAAGCCCCCGGCUCAACUGGGGAGGGUCACGCGAUACUGAUCGACUCGAAGGCAGGAGAGGGAAGUGGAAUUCCCGGUGUAGUGGUGAAAUGCGCAGAUAUCGGGAGGAACACCAAUGGCGAAGGCAGCUCGCUGGGACGGUACUGACGCUGAGACGCGAAAGCGUGGGGAGCAAACAGG